rnacentral:rRNA from 1 species
UACGAAGGGGGGCGAGCGUUGUUCGGAUUUACUGGGCGUAAAGGGCGCGCAGGCGGCCGCAUUUGUCAGGCGUGAAAGCCCCGGGCUUAACCUGGGAACUGCGUUUGAUACGGUGUGGCUAGAGUUCGGGAGAGGAGAGUGGAAUUCCCAGUGUAGAGGUGAAAUUCGUAGAUAUUAGGAAGAACACCGGUGGCGAAGGCGGCCCACUGGAUCGGUACUGACGCUGAGGUGCGAAAGCGUGGGGAGCAAACGGAUUAGAACG